AAGUCGUAACAAGGUUUCCGUAGGUGAACCUGCGGAAGGAUCAUUAAUGAAUGCUGGUCUUUGGGACCGAUUCUCACACCCGUGCUCUGUUUGGAGGGAAUGUUCAAACAGGAUUUUAUUUCCUUCAAGGUUGAUGUCGUCUGAGAAAUCCAUCGUGUUGUGCGAUGUAGAAGAAAAAAUGAAAACUAUGAACAACGGAUCUCUAGGCUCUU
rnacentral:misc_RNA from 1 species